rnacentral:rRNA from 1 species
UGAGGAAUAUUGGUCAAUGGGCGGAAGCCUGAACCAGCCAAGUAGCGUGCAGGACGACGGCCCUAUGGGUUGUAAACUGCUUUUAUGCGGGGAUAAAGUGGGCCACGCGUGGCCUUUUGCAGGUACCGCAUGAAUAAGGACCGGCUAAUUCCGUGCCAGCAGCCGCGGUAAUACGGAAGGUCCGGGCGUUAUCCGGAUUUAUUGGGUUUAAAGGGUGCGCAGGCGGCGCGCCAAGUCAGCGGUCAAAGUUCCGGGCUCAACCCGGUGUCGCCGUUGAAACUGGCGUGCUCGAGUGCGUGCGAGGAAGGCGGAAUGCGUUGUGUAGCGGUGAAAUGCAUAGAUAUGACGCAGAACUCCGAUUGCGAAGGCAGCUUUCCAGCGCGCUACUGACGCUGAGGCACGAAAGCGUGGGGAUCG